UUAUGCUCAAACGCUGCACAUAUGGAAUAGAACGGUUCUCUUGAUGUUGUUGUUGUGGUUAUUGGAAUUGAGCACACAGUGCGAUAUGCGCUAGAUCGUUCGACUAGCGUUCGACUAAAAUCGACGGCAACAAAAACGAGCACACGAGAACGACGACGACGAGC